GGAAGGAUCAUUAACACUUAUUAUUAUCCAAUAUCAACCACAAAACCAAACGGUCACUUUUCUUCUCCCUAUUUCGCUACCGGAGACGGUACGAUUAGGCUAAACUUUUUUUUUAAUUUUUAACCCCAUUUAAUUUUUCUCUUGUAAUGAAAGAAAAACCCAACUCUUCGAUUUUGUUUUGUAAUGAAGCAAAAACGAACUAAACUAAAAUAUACAUUUGAUUAUAUUUUUAUUUUACGAAAUAAUAUAUAUUUAUUAAGAACAACUCUUAGCAAUGGAUAUCUUGGUUCUCGCAACGAUGAAGAACACAGCGAAAUGCGAUAUGUAAUGCGAAUUGCAGAAUUCAGUGAAUCAUCAAAUCUUUGAACGCAAAUUGCGCUCUCGGGAUAGACCUGGGAGCACGCCCCUUUGAGUAUCGGUUCUAACACAACUCAACUUCCAUUGCUUAUAAACAAUGGCAAGAUUGGAUAAUGAGUCGUCUCGACAAAGCACACACUGUUGAGUCACUUGAAAUAUAGAGAGUGCAGAUCUCCUAGUUACGCAUCUUUUGGCUUGUCCAAAAGGUUAGUUCUGGUGCAUUAUAGCCGCAACAUAACCAUAAGAACAGAAAAACUAGUUGACGUGGAUAAUUUCACCUUUACGGUGUAUCUUUUAAACGUCUUUCAAAGCUAAGUAUUUUUUAUUGUGUUGCAGCGCGCCUUGAAUGAAGUAACUUGUGAUUGAGCUGAACGCAACCAAAAUAAUAUAAUAUUAUGUAAUGUAAUAUUUUGUUAUAUAUCUCUGAAUUGAAUUUAGAUCUCAGAUGGAGCGAGAAUACCCCCUGAAUUUAAGCAUAUUAAUAAGGGGAGGAAAAGAAACUAACAAGGAUUCUCUUAGUAACGGCGAGUGAAGCGAGAAGAGCUCAAACUGAAAAUCGGGGACCCAAGCGGGCCUCUGAAUUGUUUGCUAGAGACGUGUUGUCAGCAUGUGACCUAGAUUGAAAUCUCUUGAAACAGGGUAUCAUAGAGGGUGAGAAUCCCGUCUGCAAUCUGGAGUUCGCUGCGUACGACGCAUGUUCAUAGAGUCGAGUUGUUUGGGAUUGCAGCUCUAAUUGGGUGGUAAGUUUCAUCUAAAGCUAAAUAUUGGCGAGAGACCGAUAGCGAACAAGUACCGUGAGGGAAAGAUGAAAAGAACUUUGAAAAGAGAGUUAAAAAGUACUUGAAAUUGUUAAGAGGGAAGCGCUGAAAUUCAGUCAUUUGCUCUAGUUUAUUUUGCUAUUUGCUGGUGAAGAAUAGGGCAGACAAGUGUGUAAGCCUUGUUUGUUUUAUUGGACAUUAUGUGGGUGGUUUCUGUAAGCUAGGGUGAGUCAGAAUCUUUUCGAUUCGCGUGAGAAAGUUAUGAGGAAGGUAGGGUAUAGCAAUAUACCUGUUAUAGCCUUGUAGCCCUAACGUGGAUUGGAUUGAGGAAAUGUGAUAUAAUGCGCCGCAGGCUUGGUAGCUUAUUUCUAUCGAUUAGUAGAGGUCAAGAUAACAAUGUUAUGUAGCUUCUACUAGUUGAUACUGGGUAAGACUACUCUAUGCAUUAUCGCGAUUCUGACGAAAUGGAUUUCAUCGACCCGUCUUGAAACACGGACCAAGGAGUCUAACAUAUAUGCGAGUAUUUGGGUGGAAAACCCUCGUGCGUAAUGAAAGUAAAGGUUAGCUUGCUAACUGUGGUAGGAAUCGUCUUCGGGCGAGGCACUAUCGACCGAUCAUCACUUGUGAAAGAUUUGAGUAAGAGCAUAUCUGUUGGGACCCGAAAGAUGGUGAUCUAUGCCUGAACAGGGUGAAGCCAGGGGAAACUCUGGUGGAGGCUCGUAGCGAUACUGACGUGCAAAUCGUUCGUCUGAUUUGGGUAUAGGGGCGAAAGACUAAUCGAACCAUUUAGUAGCUGGUUCCCUC
rnacentral:misc_RNA from 1 species